rnacentral:rRNA from 1 species
GACGAACGCUGGCGGCGUGCCUAAUACAUGCAAGUUGAGCGCUGAAGGUUGGUACUUGUACCAACUGGAUGAGCAGCGAACGGGUGAGUAACGCGUGUGGAAUCUGCCUUUGAGCGGGGGACAACAUUUGGAAACGAAUGCUAAUACCGCAUAAAAACUUUAAACACAAGUUUUAAGUUUGAAAGAUGCAAUUGCAUCACUCAAAGAUGAUCCCGCGUUUUAUUAGCUAGUUGGUGAGGUAAAGGCUCACCAAGGCGAUGAUACAUAGCCGACCUGAGAGGGUGGUCGGCCACAUUGGGACUGAGACACGGCCCAAUCUCCUACGGGAGGCAGCCGUAGGGAAUCUUCGGCCAUGGACGAAAGUCUGACCGAGCAACGCCGCGUGCGUGAAGAAGGUCUUCGGAUCGUAAAACUCUGUUGGUAGAGAAGAACGUUGGUGAGAGUGGAAAGCUCAUCAAGUGACGGUAACUACCCAGAAAGGGACGGCUAACUACGUG